GUGUGACGCCCGGAUAAUCAAGCUACAGUAAACCUCUGCUAAUGAUGCCACGUCACCUCGAUUACUAUUGCUAAUCUCGCGUUAGGUCGAAACCAGUUCGAAUUCAAAUUCAAAAUCAAGCAAACAAUAAAAGUUUUCAAAUAUUAAAACUAAAAUGUUUGGAGUGAGCCAAAUAAUGCAUAGGUAAUUAUGGUGGAGAAACCACACUUUUAUAAAAUGUUUAAAUACUCUUAAAUGAAUAAAAGAGUAGCACAAACAAUUAUUUUAAUGCUUUAAAAAUAAUAAACAUUUUCAAAAGUAAAUUGUUAUAAGUAUUAAACUAUUGUGGCAGUGGCAUAAUUUGUAAAAUCCUAUUUAGGUGCCACUUUGGUAAUUUACUAAAACUAAAAUAAAAGGAAACUAAAAGAAAGCAAAGUAUAAAAAAGCAGAAAACAAAACUAACAAAAAAAGGGAAAUAGAAGAACCCCCCCACUGGGCCACGGCCCAGCUGGUCUCUGGACCCACUAGGCCGGUCCAGUCGGCCCAGCCGCCGCCCGACCUAACCCUAGACGACCAACGCCCCCACUCCCCUCGUUCCCCACUCGCCCCACUCGUUUCCCCGCACGCCUUCCUCUCCUUCCUCGAUCUGGAUCGGGGGGCAACGACCCCGACCCCGAUCUCGCAUCGCCCCGCUCGUCCCUCGACACCGCCGCUUGCCCUACACCCGCCCGAUGCCGUCCCUCGUUGCCCGGAGCCCGCGUCGACCGCGCCAAGCCGCCUCCUCGCUGGAGAUGGACGGAUGCCGGAGGCCCCGUCGCGGAUCUGGCCUCCCCUCGCCUUGCUCCCCUCGCCGGAGUCCCCUCGCCGACCGGUGCCCGCCUCCGCCACCACUGCCGUGCCGGUGCCUCGCCGUCUCGGUCGCGUCCACCGUGGCUCCCCGCGGCCCCAGCGAGCACGCUCGCGCCUGUGGGCUGCCACCUCCGCCCCGCAGCUUCUCCGUCGUCCCCGUCGCCGGCCAUCCUCGAGCUCGCUGCCAAAUGCCCUACAGCAGCAACGUGAGGCCCUCUGUCACCUCCCCCCCCCCUACACACUACUUCACCGUAGGGUGCCAACGCCGACGCGCCCGAGCUCGUGCUCCCCCCGCUCGCGUCUCCCCACUUGCGUUGGCUGCCGCUCGUCGAUUGCCCCUCCUUUGUAGCUCGCUCAGCUUCGCGCGGCCCCGCAGUGCUGCCCGCGCCGACCAACGCCUCCCGUGACCCCCCCUGCUGCGGGCCUCGCCNNNNNNNNNNNNNNNNNNNNNNNNNNNNNNNNNNNNNNNNNNNNNNNNNNNNNNNNNNNNNNNNNNNNNNNNNNNNNNNNNNNNNNNNNNNNNNNNNNNNNNNNNNNNNNNNNNNNNNNNNNNNNNNNNNNNNNNNNNNNNNNNNNNNNNNNNNNNNNNNNNNNNNNNNNNNNNNNNNNNNNNNNNNNNNNNNNNNNNNNNNNNNNNNNNNNNNNNNNNNNNNNNNNNNNNNNNNNNNNNNNNNNNNNNNNNNUGCACCGACUCGCCUGGGCCGCUGCCGUCGCCCGCCCGGCCUCAUCCGCCGCGGCGCCCCUGGGUCACCGCACCAGCGCUGGCGCACUCACGGGGCUCUGCCCUGGCACCCCCAUGCCCGUUAGCCCGCGUGCCCAUGCCCGCUAGGACCCCCCUUGCCUAUGACACAAGGGCCCCAAGCCCCCUGAAUGUUUAAAAAAAGGAUUAAAGAAAAUAAAUAAAAAUAAAAAUGAAUAAAUAAAAUAAAUUAUUAAUUAAUGAAUGAAUUAAUUAUGUUAAUUAAUCAUGUUUAAUUAAUCUAAUUAACUAGUAGUUUAAUUAAACAGUAAUUAGUUUAGCUAAUUCCUAAUUAAUCUAAACAGGGAAUGACAGGUGGGUCCCAUUGGACCCACACGUCAGUUUGACCAGUCAACAUCUCUGUUGACUACUGACGUCAGCAUGCACUAUUCUGGAUAAUGUUGAACUAAAUUAAUUAAAUAAAUUCUAAAAUGACUUAAAACUUAAGAAAAUCAUUUAAAAUAAACCGUAGCUCAGAUGAAAAUACUUUCUACACGAAAGUUGCUCAGAACGACGAGACGAAUCCGGAUGCGCAGUCCGUUCGUCCGACACACAUCCCUAACCUAUCGAACUCGCAACUUUCCCCCUCCGGUUCAUCUGUCCGAAAACACAAAACACCGGGAAUCAUUUCUCGGAUGUUUCCCCCCUUUCCCGGUAUCACCUAGUACUGUGUUAGGGCACACCUAGCACCGUGUAUUGCUAUGUUAUGCCUUGUGUUGCUUUGAUUUCUUUGUUAUUUAUUGUGUUCCCUCUCCGUUACUUCUUUCCGGUAGACCCCGGGACUGCCGGCGACCCCCAGUUCGACUACGAUGUCGAUGACCCCUCACUCUUGCCAAAGCAACCAGGCAAGCCCCCCCUUUGAUCACCAGAUAUCGCCUAUUCUUCUCUCUACUGCUUGCAUUAGAGUAGUGUAGCAUGUUACUGCUUUCCGUUAAUCCUAUCUUGAUGCAUAGCCUGUCCUUGCUACUACUGUUGUUACCUUUACCUGCAAUCCUAAAUGCUUAGUAUAGGAUGCUAGUGUUCCAUCAGUGGCCCUACACUCUUGUCCGUCUGCCAUGCUAUACUACUGGGCCGUGAUUACUCGGGAGGUGAUCACGGGCAUAUGAUAUAUACUUAUACUAUUACAUUACUUAUGAUAUUGUUUGGAGAUGGGGGCUAAAGGGGCACGUGGCUCCAUCCCGGUAGAGGUGGGCCUGGGUUCCCGACUACCCCCAAUUGUUACUUUGAGGCGGAGCGACAGAUCAGGUUGAGACCACCUAGGAGAGAGGUGGGCCUGGCCCUGGUCGGCGUUCGUGGAUACUUAACAUGCUUAACGAGAUCUUGGUAUUUGAUCUGAGUCUGGAUACUGGCCUAUACGCACUAACCAUCUACGCGGGGACAGUUAUGGGCACUCGACGCCGUGGUAUUAGCCGAAGCCUUCGUGACGUCAGCGACUAAGCAGCGCGCGCCGGGUUGGACUGGAACGCCUACCCUUGUAUAAGGGAGGCUAGGUCUACUCACCGACCGCGUACGCAACGUGCAGGUGUGCAAUGGGUGAUGGGCCCAGACCCCUGCGCCAUAGGAUUUAGACCGGCGUGUUGACCUCUCUGUUGUGCCUAGGUAGGGCUGCGACGUGUUGAUCUUCCGAGGCCGGGCAUGACCCAGAAAAGUGUGUCCGGACAAAGGGGGUCGAGCGUGUUGGGAAAUGUGGUGCACCCCUGCAGGGAAGUUAAUCUAUUCGAAUAGCCGUGAUCUUCGGUAACAGGAAGACUUGGAGUUGUACCUUGACCUUAUGACAACUAGAACCAGAUACUUAAUAAAACACACCCUUCCAAGUGCCAGAUACAACUGGUGAUCGCUCUCUCAUAGGGCGACGAGGGAAGGAUCAUCGGUUAGGAUUAUGCUACAUGAUGCUACUUGGUGAACUUACCAUCUACUCUCUUCUCCUGCUGCAAGAUGGAGGUUACUAGAAGCGUAGUCUUCGAAAGGACUAGCUAUCCCCCUCUUAUUCCGGCAUUCUACAGUUUAGUCCACAUAUGAUACCCUUAUUCCAUUUGAUACCAAUGCAUACAUAUGUAGUGUAGCUCCUUGCUUGCGAGUACUUUGGAUGAGUACUCACGGUUGCUUUGCUCCCUCUUUUCCCCCUUUCUAUACCCGAUUGCUGCGACCAGACGUUGGAGCCCAGGAGCCAGACGCCACCGUCGAUGACGACUACUACUACUCGGGAGGUGCCUAAUACUACGUGCAGCCCGCUGUCGACGACCAGGAGUAGUUUAGGAGGAUCCCAGGGAGGAGGCCUGCGCCUCUUUCGAUCUGUAUCCCAGUUUGUGCUAGCCUUCUUAAGGCAAACUUGUUUAACUUAUGUCCGUCCUCAGAUAUUGUUGCUUCCGCUGACUCGUCUAUGAUCGAGCUCUUGUAUUCGAGCCCUCGAGGCCCCUGGCUUGUAAUAUGAUGCUUGUAUGACUUAUUUUAUUUGUAGAGUUGUGUUGUGAUAUCUUCCUGUGAGUCCCUGAUCUUGAUCGUACAUGUUUGCGUGUAUGAUUAGUGUACGACUGAAUCGGGGGCGUCACAAGUUGGUAUCAUAGCCGACUGCCUAUAGGAAUGCCCCUUCCACACUCCUUGGCCGAAGUCGAGUUUAGACAUGACGAAACUUUUACUAACAUGGCUGUGUGCCUUAUGGGCCCACGUUGCCAUUGGGUGGUAUUAAGAUCUUUUAUUCCUCAACCUGUACUCUGGGACUCUAAUCUCUCCCCUAUUCGGGUUAAAUGAUUUUGCUAAAAGGACUAACUUUAGGUUCUCGUAAAUACUUUCUCCCGGAGAGCCCCUCACUCCAGAUGAUCGCUUGCUGCACCAGAAGAUUCCGAAGAUACUCUCCGAGGUUUUCCCGAGACCCUUGUGCCCACCGACUUUACAAUCCCCUACCACCGGUAUACCCUUAUGGAUAACUACCUACAAUUGUCGUUCAUACCUUCAUUCUCAGUUGCUCUUGUUAUUACGAGAUGCCCUAAAUUGCUCUCCGUUGUUCCAAAAAUCCAUUAAGCUUACUGCCUUGCUGUUCUUUGUCACCUGAAUACCCCUAUGGAUAAUUCUCGCACUUAUCGAGUAUCCGUUCGUCCCUAGUUGUUCGUAUGUUUCAUAAGAUACUCUAAAAUACUACCCGACCUCCUGAACAUCCUCUUCAAACUAUUGCUCUACAAAUACAUGUAUGCUUACAUUAUGGGUGCUCCCAUAUCACUAGCAAUAUUCACUAGUAUCUUUUGAGACUGUCAUUUUGAUCCUAUUGAUUCAACAUGUGUGCGAAUGCACACAAUCAUCAAUCGACCCUUCUAAAUUAUCUUUCCGGCUCAGACGUCAUUUUGAACCUGAGCUGGUUCUCGACCAAACAAAUUGCCGUCGAUUGUGCCCCUAAGUCUACUCAACUUAUCCAUCCUUACUCAGAGCGUUUGUUUCUGAGACCUUAAUUUGGAAGUCAUAAUUCCUUUGCAUUUGAGCUUCGAUUAGUCAGUUGUUCCAUAAACUGAUAUCUUUGCAUUCCUUCUUCCUCUGGUUGAGUACUGUUGCUCACAUCAGACCCCUGGUGGACCACGAGAUCCUUUGUUGGAUUUUAUUCGACAGCGUCCUUCAUAUUCUAUAAGCUUGUGAGCCUUUCCUCGGAUACAUAAUGAUUUUGGUAAAUUGUAUCCUCUAUUUUCUCAACCAUGCUCUGUUUUCGAGCUGGUGGUAUUCACGAUUGAAGUUUGUCGUAUAUGUUUCCACGAUACCCUGACGGGUUGAACCUAUGCCUUUCUUAAUCUGUGUGAACCCGAAAGUUUUCACGGGUCAUACUCCUCUAGUAAUUCACAAGGUAGGUUUUGACCCUGAAAUCAUUUUUAUCUAGAGCAGUGAAUGAAAGCUUAUGCAUUGAAGAAGUGGGAGUCGACCUUGAACUUUGUGUUCAUGCCCAUGGACCCAAUGUAGAUCUUAUCAUUAAAGCUUCUCUUAAAUUAAUUUUUUUCCCUUGGUAUAAGUUCUUAUAUCUAGGAUCCGGCCUUUUGCAAUCGUGGUUUCGACCAUAUGAUCUUCUUUGACCCCAUCUCACGGGCAAGUUUAAGCACUUGUCUUCUGUGGAUCAAUACACCAGUCCAACCUUUACUUUGAUCUUCCGUCAAGUAUUACACCAUGGUAACUCGAUAAUAUCAAGUACUACCUAACCUCUUAUGAGUUCUUCACCAAGUACUACAUUCUCACUGAUUCCAAUUUUUCACGGGCUCUGAGUUAUUAAACACUCAAAGACCGAUAACUGAACCGACUCCACACUAUGGUUCAACAACUAUUAUAAGUCUUCUUUGCUUACGAGAUUGUACCCGAUUAUGUCCUUCCUACCCUAUUUGGCUAUAUCAUUAUUGUGAUGAUUUUAACUGUGCUACCUCGUCCUUCUUCCCGGAGCACAAUUUUUGAUGAUGAGCUAAGCUUACGUCGAUUUUCCUCAUCAUAUCAUUUAUCCUUAAACCACAAGCUUGGUUUCGAGUUUGUGCCGUACCCGUGGUUCCAAUAACCUUUUGCUUCAUCAUUUUUUUGACUUGAUGUCAUCGCCGAUGGAUUACAUCUUCAUGAAAUCUCUCAACAAUUGUGUCGUGAUCAUCAUCAAUCUUAUGAGCUCUUCUAGGAUAUCAAUCGAAGUCAUGAUGAGAAAUACAACCCUUGCCCCUCGAUGAAUUGUGGUAUCAUCGACAACUUUAUUGCCUUCCCUCCAACACAAACUUGUUCAUGUUCUGUGCUAUGCCUUGAGUUCCUUGCUAUCCAACAUUUGUUCUUCUUUACCUUGGAGUAUUACCAUCUUUUAUAUCCAGGAUGUCGUGCUUAGCACACCCGGCCGAAUGUCCUAUUAAUAUAGAUUCCUUUUCAGCAAGGUUGGCCAUUCUUCCAUGAGGAAGUUGUAAGACUUAUUCUGUGAGUUGAUCCUGAUGGAUCCUUUGUGUAUCCAAAGUCCGACCUUGCUCGAAGACCAUGUCAAUGCUAUCUCGAAGCAUGUAUGUGGUACUCCGAUUUUCAACAAGAACAUUUGAAGCCCAAUGCUAAAUGUUUCUUGCUCAAUUAUCCAAACACCAUUGCAUGGGUAAUGUCAUGAAAUUUCUCUCCCGCUUACCUAAAGAGUUUUCUACAUUAUAUCCUGUCAUGGAUAUCAUGCUCUGCUUGUCCUUGGGAAGGAUAUACCCUUGAAAUAUGUGUUAAAACACAUUUUCCUUUCCAUUGUUCUGUUUAAUCUGAUAAUCAUAUUUUCUUUUCCAUUGGUUGGUUUAACGUUGGUUGUGAUCCAUAAGAUCUAAGCAGUAAUAUUCUCCUGCUUAUGUAAACAUCUCGGUGUACAAUUCUGUCAACACGACCCUGUUACUAUUGUUGAUGACAUUUCGGUAGCCACCGAUGGACAAGAACUUUGCCUACAGGUCCGCCUUGUUUCAACGAGUAGGAAGAUGGUUCUCUUUGUCCCUCGCCCUUGGUACCGACGUUGUUGCCGACAUAACUGACAGGCUAUCUGCUGACAUGUGUUGCCUACAUGGUCAUACAAGGCGUCACCGUCCAUCCUACUUUAGAACCACAUGGUGGGCCCAUAACCCACAGUUCCACAGGAUCGAAACCUGACUCUCAUGUACACCCCCUAUUCCCAGAGUUAUUCCUCGCGCGUGGUCUCAUAUGUAAUUCACGAGCCACCUUCCGUGUGAUCAUCAAUUAUGCUAUCAAACACAUUACCUAUACCCGUCGCCUUGUUUCAGGCAACGACGAUUGUCUAUCCGCUUCAAUCUUCUUAAGGUACCUUCUUACUUUGCUCUCGAUGUGUUUCAUUUGUUCAACUCGAGAGAUACUCUUACGAUCAUUCUUGGGAUACCCCCCCAGAUGAUUUUACCUUAUAACAUUCAAUUGUUGAAAAACUGCCCCUUACCUAUUCGUAAGUACGAUGGAGUUCUCGAAGAAAGGACGACAACUUCAUGAUGACCUGAAACAGCAAAAUGAAGACAUCAAUGUAAUGGAUCAACCUCUUCGACAAGAACAACCAAGACCAAGAACACUCCCUAGAAUUUCGUAACCCGAACCUUCCCCCUUUACUUCCGUCUUAAAUCUCGGGACGAGAUUUCUUGUAGUGGAGGAGAAUUGUGACGCCCGGAUAAUCAAGCUACAUUAAACCUUUGCUAAUGAUGCCACGUCACCUCGAUUACUGUUGCUAAUCUCGCGUUAGGUCGAAACCAGUUCGAAUUCAAAUUCAAAAUCAAGCAAACAAUAAAAGUUUUCAAAUAUUAAAACUAAAAUGUUCGGAGUGAGCCAAAUAAUGCAUAGGUAAUUAUGGUGGAGAAACCACACUUUUAUAAAAUGUUUAAAUACUCUUAAAUGAAUAAAAGAGUAGCAAAAACAAUUAUUUUAAUGCUUUAAAAAUAAUAAACAUUUUCAAAACUAAAUUGUUAUAAGUAUUAAACUAUUGUGGCAGUGGCAUAAUUUGUAAAAUCCUAUUUAGGUGCCACUUUGGUAAUUUACUAAAACUAAAAUAAAAGGAAACUAAAAGAAAGCAAA
rnacentral:lncRNA from 1 species